GUGAGAGGAGGGGACAGGGUACUCACUCACUGGCUGAGUAAUGGCUUCCAGAGACCCCCGACUCCCUGGCUCUGUGCAGCACGAGGGCUAAUCAAGAGUGACGGCUCGGCCCGUUUGGACAGUGUAAAGGCAGCUCCGCUCCUGUCAGGCACAGACAUGGACAGCCACCCCCCUCUCCCUUCACCACAGGACCCCCAGGCUGCUAGUCACUGCCACAACCAUCUGACAGGGAAAUGUUGGGUGUCCCUUGUCCUCCUGUUCUUUAAUCAGAGCUGGGGCCCCUGCCAUAGCCGGAAGGAAACCCUGUUCCAGGAAGUGCCUGUCUGAUACUGUGCUGCUGGUCUCGCUGUGGCCUCAGUGCCAAUCGGACAUUAUUCAUCUGAGGAAAAGGAAAACCGCUAUUGCCAUCCCCAGUCAUUCCCAAAUCCAGUAACUGUAGAAUCCUGUCCUGAAUAGGCGGUGUGGUCUUCUUUGUGUUUGUUCUGAACUCAGUGAUUGACAUCUUGUUGAUGGGUGUGACAGAAAUACACACCGGUUACAGUCCAUGACUCAACACCGCCUGCAUAAAAUUUUCUAAGGAA